CACCCUGCAACAUGAGAAGAGAGGAAUCAAGAAACGUCAUUAUCUUAUGCUUCUGGGGGAAGGUGGAAAAAAUAGCCAACAUAUGCAUCAUCUCUAAAUCAUAUCCAAUAAUUAAUUUUCAGGUGGAAACAUGGUUGAUUGGUAUAGCUCAGUCAAGCCCAUGUGGGUGUCAUCUCCACAUUGAAUAACUCACAAUCCUAGUAUUAUUGGUCUGUGACUCAUCAUGAUGGCAAAGGUUCAUUUAUUCUGUCCAUAUUUGGAGAGAAAAAGAACAUAAUGGAAAGGCUGAAUAGGUUGCCAGGCCCAUGCUGAAGGGGAAGGAUGAUGGUGAGAAGCAGCUGGAAGUUCCCAAAGUAAGGCUCUACUCUUCUCUUGGUGCAGCAGUGAAAUGGUUAAUGCAAUACAAGCAAGUCUUCAGCAUCUUAGAGGCUGGCUGCAGCGAUUCCUAGAAUGAGUCAUCUUGCCAUCAGAGUUAGCUAUCUCCCUCCCCUCCCCCUCUUCUUGAGCACUAACAUCCAAAUCUCCCCUGUGGUCAACUUCAGCAAAUGCCAUAUUGCUCAUCCUGACCAGGUUCUUGGCCCUCAACAAUGAAUCUACUCCUUGUCAUGCUGACCGGAAGGAACAGGAAUGUUUGCUGCUUGUGUGACUCUUGCAACAAGUAUAGGCCCCAAAGAACCCAAACCACUACUUCCUGGAUCCCUAGGAUCCACCCCUACAACCUUGGUAUUUAGAUGUUUCUGUGCAAUAAAUAGAGCUAUAAAGCACCGGAGCGGUAGAGCAAAGAAAGGAUCUUAUCACAUACUGACUGGAUUUACUGAGUUGCAGGAAGGGCUGGAAAUGUGCAUGAUUCAAAGGAUGAAUGUUGCUUCUGUGGGGGAAGUGGGGAGGAUGAUAAGAGGAGGUGAAGAAUGAGUAAGUACAAGCACUGAGAUAAAGCGCAAGUUCCCCAGGACCUGUCAGUAAACUCCCCGGGGUCUGCCAUCUCCAAUAAGGCAUCUUUUUGUGAUUACUUUAUGACCAAAGAACCUUUGCACCCACUUCUCACCCCUCAAGUGAACCACCAAGGCCACACGCUCACUUCCGAUGACCCAUACAAACGUUAAGUCUGAAGCCUUCUCCAGAACUCUUUUUGGAGCACGACGUAGAAUUUGAUAGCAAUGAUUAAUCAUGUUGGGAAUGGACUUGGAGGGAAGCUGAAGAUGAAAAAGGAGAAUGCCAAGGAAGGAAAGACAGGACGAGAGGAUUGGGAUCCAGGGAGGCCGAGAUAAAAAUAAAACAUGAAAAGAAAGGGUGUGACAGGCACAUAACGGUGACUAAAAGACUGGGGGGAAAGGGGCAGCACAGCAGGCCAAUGUUGUCUCUUCUUUCAGAAUGACUGAAAGGACGAGAGCAGGGGAGGGCGCCACUUUACCGCGGGGUGCCCGGACAUACUAAUCUCUGCCUAUCUAAAUCUCAGAGGGAGAGCGAAGUGGCCGCAUAGUGCACAGAAGGGCAGCCACCCAAUAGCCCAACCCCCUUUCCCUCCAGCCAAACCAGACUCCCAAGAGCCGAUUUCAACCUGCCUCAGCAGCCGCUCCACACCCCCCUUGAACCUCUAGCUAGCGGAGGCGGGAAGAGAAAGAAUUGGGAGGAAGAGGGAGAGAAGAAAGGUUGGAUACGCUCCUUUGCUUUCUCCACAAACUGGGGGUCCCCCAAAUGCUUUCUAUAAUCUGAAUCCUCCCCCGGCCCGGGCCCAGCGCUUCCCGAUACAGGCCAUGACCAGCUCGGUCAGACACACAGUACGGCCGCGCUUUCGAAGAAAGCGAGAGGUGGAAGCUGGCAGCCCCAAGAGCCCGGGUCUGUUCGCAGCGGCUUUCGUCUCUUGCCUGCCGAGUCCUCAAAACCUACGAGGUUCCAAAAAAAUUUGCAAAGCGUCUUCCCUCCAAGCCCAAGGUCCUCCAAUUACUAAAAAAAAAAAGGGGGGGGGGUC